GCGGGAGCUGCGGUGAUGGCCGGGCGAGGAGCGGUGCGGCCGGGGAGGAGUACGUGAUGUCGGCCGCCGCAGUCACAGCUGUGCUGGUGGAACUGGUGCCAGAGCGGCGCCACAGGGCAGGGCUGGGCUCCUGCGUUCUGCUCACAAACAUCUGAAGUUAAAUGUUAGAGAAAUAGCGGUUACAGAGCUACAGCUGAGGAGAGUUUGGAGACGAAGGAGUGACGGUGGUUCCUCUGUGUAUCUCGAAGGUGUCCGUAUUUGGGGCCUCCUGGAGGCUGGGCAGACAUUUGGGGACCAUAAACCUUCUUUCCUCUGUUGUUGCUCACUGCAGAAUUGCAUUUUCCUUCAGGGAAAAAAUUAAAAAUGCACAAUACAGAACCAAGAGAUGCUGUAAGAAGUACGACAUGAACAAAUAGCAAUGAAAAACAAUAGGAACAAACAACCGGUCCUUGGAGAUGUUGAGAUCGAUGAGAAGUUCAUUGAGAACUCGCACAAAGUUGAGAAAUGGCAGAUGGACAAAAUUCCCUGAACAGGUCACACAAAAGCUCGUAUCCUGCCUGAAAAGCCUGGAUGCAUUCAGCACACAGCACUGUUAUUACCACAUUCUGCAGCUUCUGACCGCCAUUAGGAAAACAAAUUCUGCUUCCCAAGAAGAUCUGCCUCAUUCCUUCUCAUUCCUUUUCUUCCUUGAAGAGAAAUUUAUACAGCGUUUCUGCAUCUCCAAAGGCACAGGAAAGCUGCAGCUGCUACAAGGCAUUCUGAACGUAACCGAACACAAAGUUUCGCUGUAAAGGAAGAUUUAUGACCAGCUGUUCCGUACAGCAGCUCUCUGGGGCAGAUUGCCAGUGCUUGGUAACACUGUUCUCUCCCUCCUGCUCAGGCUGGGGGAAGAAAUGCCAUCAUUGCAGCCUCCGUGCAACACAGGCAGCUUCUGUGCCCAGCCGUGGAGCUCCUCUGUGCUUAGAAAGCUUGCACUCAUUGCUGCCCGAUUCUUACAAUUACACAAGACCUCACUAAAGCAAUUACCUUUAAUUACAACGCUAAAAAACUUGCAUUUGAGAGUGAACGCUUUACCACAAAGCGUUAAAACAUGGAAUAGGCACAUCAGUGUUAUUUUACAGCCUCUGGCAUUUUUUUUUUUUCCUCCAAACUGUCAUCAAAACAAACUAUAACUCCUAUACCCACCUCCCGCGGCCCGAGGCGAGGAUCCCCCUCAUCCGCCUCAAGGCGCUUCCCGCCUCGCACCUCACGGCCCGGCUCGGCCGGCGCAGCGCCAGGCGGGACUGCAGCGCCCCCUGGUGGCAGCGCCGUGGCGGCACUCCGCGCCCGACGGCCCCAACGGAGGGGGGCGGCGCGCCAUCAUGGCGCAUGCGCGAUACUUCAGUGCCAAUGGAGGCUGAGCGGCGCUGUGGGUUGAGCGGCCACGCUCCCGUUUCCAACUCUAGGAGCGAAGGUAGCGGGAAAGAGCGGCAGCUUUCCCUCAGAUCACGGCCUUCCUGCUGCACACCGAGGCCAGCAAAUAAAAAAAAACACACCUGCA
rnacentral:lncRNA from 1 species